CGGUUAAGUUAGAAAGGGCGCACGGUGGAUGCCUUGGCACUAGGAGCCGAUGAAGGACGGGACGAACACCGAUAUGCUUCGGGGAGCUGUAAGCAAGCUUUGAUCCGGAGAUUUCCGAAUGGGGAAACCCACCACUCGUAAUGGAGUGGUAUCAAUAUCUGAAUUCAUAGGAUAUGAGAAGGCAGACCCGGGGAACUGAAACAUCUAAGUACCCGGAGGAAGAGAAAGCAAAUGCGAUUCCCUGAGUAGCGGCGAGCGAAACGGGAUU
rnacentral:rRNA from 1 species